rnacentral:sRNA from 1 species
CACUAGCUGGUAGAGCCGUUUGAUUGC